rnacentral:rRNA from 1 species
AAAUUGAAGAGUUUGAUCAUGGCUCAGAUUGAACGCUGGCGGCAGGCCUAACACAUGCAAGUCGAACGGUAACAGGAAUCAGCUUGCUGAUUCGCUGACGAGUGGCGGACGGGUGAG